GACGAACGCUGGCGGCGUGCUUAACACAUGCAAGUCGAACGGAAAGGCCCCUUUGGGGGUACUCGAGUGGCGAACGGGUGAGUAACACGUUAGUAACCUGCCCUUGACUUCGGGAUAACUUCAGGAAACUGGGGCUAAUACCGGCUAGGAAUCCUUGCUGCAUGGUGGGGGUUGGAAAGCUUCGGCGGUUUUGGAUGGACUCGCGGCUUAUCAGCUUGUUGGUGGGGUAGUGGCUUACCAAGGCUUUGACGGGUAGCCGGCCUGAGAGGGCGACCGGCCACAUUGGGACUGAGAUACGGCCCAGACUCCUACGGGAGGCAGCAGGGGGGAAUAUUGCACAAUGGGCGGAAGCCUGAUGCAGCAACGCCGCGUGAGGGAUGACGGCCUUCGGGUUGUAAACCGCUUUCAGCAGGGGCGAAGCUUGUGGUGACGGUACCUGCAGAAGAAGCACCGGCUAACUACGUG
rnacentral:rRNA from 1 species